UACGUAGGUGGCAAGCGUUGUUCGGAUUUACUGGGCGUAAAGGGCGCGUAGGCGGCAAUUCAAGUCAUCUGUGAAAUCUCCGGGCUUAACCCGGAACGGUCAGGUGAUACUGUUUUGCUAGAGUGCGGAAGGGGCCAUCGGAAUUCUCGGUGUAGCGGUGAAAUGCGUAGAUAUCGAGAGGAACACCAGAGGCGAAGACGGGUUGCUGGGCAGACACUGACGCUGACAGCGCGAAAGCCAGGGGAGCAAACGGG
rnacentral:rRNA from 1 species